CUCUGGAUCCUGACCCAGGCCACGGUGAAGGCUGCAGUCAAACAUCUACCAUAUAUAUCGAGAAUAAAGAAGAAGAAGAAGAGGAGGAGGAGGAGGAGGAAGUUGGUGGUUUGAUAAAUUCGAAGGAGAAGAAGUUAAUUGGGAUUACCUCAGUCCUGGAUCUUCAGCAUUGCAGGGCCCGAAGUCAGUUUCUGAAAAGUUUGAGAACCAAGUUGAAGAUGAUGAUGAUGAUGUGGAAGAAGAGGAAGUUGGUGGUCUGAUCAAUUCAGACGGAGAAGAAAUUGGUUGGGAUCGUCAUCGUAUCAUCAGCCGUCCUUCUGACAGCGAGGAGAGUCCCUCCGCAUCAGGAGAACCUGAACAACACCAGGAGGAUCCCAACAACACCAAGUCUCACCACUGCUUUAGAUGUGGGAAAGACUUUGCCAACAUCUCUAACCUACGGCGACACCAGAAGAGACACUCAGGAGAGAGUUCCGAACACAGAUCUGACAGUGAAGCCAGGAAGUCCCACUGCUGCCCAGAAUGUGGAAGAGACUGUAAGAAGCUAUCAGCUCUACAAAAACACAUGAAGAUCCACACGGGAGAGAAGCCGUACCCUUGCUCCGUGUGGGAAACAGUUCCGUGAAAGAACAGCCCUCCGCGACCACCAGAAAGUGCACACGAGAGAAAACCUUACCCUUGCCCCGACUGUGGGAAGAGGUUCGCUCACUCAGGAGCUAUGAAGAGACACCUGCUGACGCACACCGGAGAAAAACCUUACUCCUGCUCUGUGUGUGGGAGGAGCUACACCCAGAUAGGGCGACUGAGAGAACACGAGCGAACACACAGCGAUGAGAAACACGACUGUUCCGUCUGUUGGAGGAGCUUCGCCAAAGCUAAGGCCCUCGUCGCUCACUUCAGGACCCACACGGGAGAGAGACCCUACAGCUGUGAGGAGUGCGGGAAGAGCUACGUACGAACCCAGAACCUCAGAGCCCAUCAGAGGAAAAGUCACAGCAGCUCACUACCAAACCCUGGGACUGGGACAGGGGAAACCCUGGGACUGGG